rnacentral:rRNA from 1 species
GAUGAACGCUGGCUGCAGGCUUAACACAUGCAAGUCGAGGGACCGGCGCACAGGUGAGUAACACGUAUCCAACCUUCCCUUUACGCGUGGAUAACCUUUCUAAAGAAAGUUUAAUACACGAUAUAAAGGAUGAGGAUGCGUGCCAUGAGGUUGUUGGUGAGGUAACGGCCCACCAAGCCUUCGAUGGAGAGGGGUGCUGAGAGGAAGGCACCCCACAUUGGAACUGAGACACGAGCCAAACUCCUACGGGAGGUAGCAGUGAGGAAUAUUGGUAAAUGGGCGUUAGCCUGAACCAGCCAAGUAGCGUGAAGAAUGAAGGCGUAUGGUUCGUAAACUUCUUGUAUAGAAGAAUAUGUAUUAUAUGAAUAAGGAUCGGCUAACUCCGUGCCAGCAGCCGCGGUAAUUC